UACGGAGGGUGCAAAGCGUUAUCCGGAUUCACUGGGUUUAAAGGGUGCGUAGGUGGCUAUUUAAGUCAGUGGUGAAAGCCCGCGGCUCAACCGUGGAAUUGCCAUUGAAACUGAAUAGCUUGAGUACAGUUGAAGUGGGCGGAAUACAUCAUGUAGCGGUGAAAUGCUUAGAUACUGAUGUAGAACACCGAUUACGAAGGCAGCUCACUAAGCUGUAACUGACGACUGAGGCA
rnacentral:rRNA from 1 species